GACGAACGCUGGCGGCGUGCUUAACACAUGCAAGUCGAACGGAAAGGCCCUGCUUUUGUGGGGUGCUCGAGUGGCGAACGGGUGAGUAACACGUGUGUAACCUGCCCUUGACUUUGGGAUAACUUCAGGAAACUGGGGCUAAUACCGGAUAGGAGCUCCUGCUGCAUGGUGGGGGUUGGAAAGUUUCGGCGGUUGGGGAUGGACUCGCGGCUUAUCAGAUUGUUGGUGGGGUAGUGGCUUACCAAGGCUUGGACGGGUAGCCGGCCUGAGAGGGUGACCGGCCACAUUGGGACUGAGAUACGGCCCAGACUCCUACGGGAGGCAGCAGUGGGGAAUAGUGCACAAUGGGCGGAAGCCUGAUGCAGCAACGCCGCGUGCGGGAUGACGGCCUUCGGGUUGUAAACCGCUUUCGCCUGUGACGAAGCGUGAGUGACGGUAAUGGGUAAAGAAGCACCAGCUAACUACGUG
rnacentral:rRNA from 1 species